UAGGGAAGUCUUUCCACAAUGGACGCAAGUCUGAUGGAGCAACGCCGCGUGAGUGAGAAGGGUUUCGGCUCGUAAAGCUCUGUUGUUAAAGAAGAACGUGGGUAAGAGUAACUGUUUACCCAGUGACGGUAUUUAACCAGAAAGCCACGGCUAACUACGUGCCAG
rnacentral:rRNA from 1 species